rnacentral:rRNA from 1 species
UGGGGAAUAUUGCACAAUGGAGGGAACUCUGAUCCAGCGACGCCGCGUGAACGCAGAAGGCUUUAGAGUCGUAAAGUUCUUUUAUAUGGGAAGAUAAUGACGGUACCAUAAGAAAAAGCCCCGGCUAACUACGUGCCAGCAGCCGCGGUAAUACGUAGGGGGCUAGCGUUGUCCGGAAUCACUGGGCGUAAAGGGUUCGCAGGCGGAAAUGCAAGUCAGGUGUAAAAGGCAGUAGCUUAACUACUGUAAGCAUUUGAAACUGCAUAUCUUGGGAAGAGUAGAGGUAAGUGGAAUUUUUAGUGUAGCGGUGAAAUGCGUAGAUAUUAAAAAGAAUACCGGUGGCGAAGGCGACGUACGGGGCUCAUUCUGACGCUAAGGAACUAAAGCGUGGGUAGCAAACAGG